GCAAGUUUUUUUAGCAGACUUUCGUUAAAGAAAAGGCAGAUGUCUAACACUGACUAUGAAGAAAAUGACUUGACAGCUGAAGGGAACAUGAACAAUUUGAAUCAGAUUUCUGAUGUGGCUCUUAAAGCAGUGAACUAAAAUACAUUUUCUAACUAAAAUAAAGAUUUUAAUAUCAAAUUUUUUGGAAGGGGGAUAUAGGAAUCACCCUGUUUGCUUGUCCAUCUGUCUAUCUGUCUGUGGACAACACUUGGAUACUACUGCUCUAGCUCUAGUUGACUAACAUAGAUAAUAUCUGAAAUCGAAUGUGUCAUACUUCUUGUUUACUGUGCAUAAAUGUACACUGAAGAACAUUUAUAAUUAUUUCUAGCAAAAUAUCUCUGUAAAAUAUUUGACUGUACACUUCAGAAAACAUUUAGUCUCAGAAUCAGAUACCAGAUAUGCUAUAGUGGUGCCUAGUUGUGUCGCCUGCAUAGCAAGGGGACACUUAGGGAUCACUUCUCCAUCGUCUGUCAGUCUGACCGUCUGUCCAUCAGUCCAUCUGUCUGUCACACUUUGAAAUAAGUCAUCCGCAGGAGACACACAUA